CAGAAUCUGAACCUGGGUCUCCCACGGGGAGUAGGUAACAGGAGGGAUCUGAACCACGGGGAGUAGCUAACAGGAGGGAUCUGAACCACGGGGAGUAGUAACAGGAGGGAUCUGAACCACGGGGAGUAGCUAACAGGAGGGAUCUGAACCUGGGUCUCUCACGGGGAGAAACCAAGUAGGAGAAUGGAUUACUAGGCCGCGUUGGCGGAGUGAAAGGUGAUUUUAGUUUUUAUCACCGGGCUGCUUCCCGGGUGUGAGUCAGGUGUUCAAAGCCCACGGAGAAGAUGGCUCAAAACAAAAAGUGACCUAGGUGAUGCAUGUAGACUAGACUAAUGAGUAGAGGAUGCUGUGUUUUCACAUGCUGAAGUGGGGCUUUUGAUUUAAAAAAAUGGUUUAUUUGCCUGAAAAUGUAGUAUUCUUACCUCAGGAAGUUGGUGGCUCCUGAAUCAGGGAGAACGGGCUCGUGGUAAAGGCUGGAGCGGAAUCAGUGGGAAUGUUAGAAAAUACAUCACACACACGGUUUCCACGGUUUCCAUGUGUUGGAUGACACUCCAUUUGCUCCGUUCCGACAAUUAUUAUGAGCCGUUCUCUCCUCAGCAGCCUCCGAAGUGUCUUACAUAUAUUUUAAAGAUUACUGUUCUAUUUGAGCAGGGUGCACCUCCCUCACCGGUUUCACCCAGUCACGUGACAGGCCAUUCACCCUGGGGCAGUUGAAUCAAAUCCCCUCAGUGUCCUGACCAUUAGACCAUAGCCCCUGGGGCAGGUUAAUCAAAUCCCCUCAGUGUUCUGACCAUUAGACCAUAGCCCCUGGGACAGGUUAAUCAAAUCCCCUCAGUGUUCUGACCAUUAGACCAUAGCCCCUGGGGCAGGUUAAUCAAAUCCCCUCAGUGUUCUGACCAUUAGACCAUAGCCCCUGGGGCAGGUUAAUCAAAUCCCCUCAGUGUUCUGACCAUUAGACCAUAGCCCCCGGGGCAGGUUAAUCAAAUCCCCUCAGUGUCCUGACCAUUAGACCAUAGCCCCUGGGGCAGGUUAAUCAAAUCCCCUCAGUGUCCUGACCAUUAGACCAUAACCCCGGUUCACCCUGGGGCAGGUUAAUCAAAUCCCCUCAGUGUCCUGACCAUUAGACCAUAACCCCGGUUCAACCUGGGGCAGGUUAAUCAAAUCCCCUCAGUGUCCUGACCAUUAGACCAUAACCCCGGUUCACCCUGGGGCAGGUUAAUCAAAUCCCCUCAGUGUCCUGACCAUUAGACCAUAGCCCCGGUUCACCCUGGGGCAGGUUAAUCAAAUCACCUCAGUGUUCUGACCAUUAGACCAUAGCCCCGGUUCAACCUGGGGCAGGUUAAUCAAAUCCCCUCAGUGUCCUGACCAUUUGAACAAGAGGAAUUCCCCCUCUUUGACCUGUUACCCUGAUUACUUUUGAAGUCCCGGGCAGAACUGCCUCAUCAGGAGGAGCCAAACUCACGACAUCAGGAUGCCAGUAGGUCAAGUACUCAAUUCACAGCUUGUAUUCAACUUGAAUAAUAAAUACAUGGUUCUAAAUGCAUCUAUUUCACAGGUUCGAUUUAAAAAGCUCCAUGACGACAUGUUCAGAACUCUUAGGAUGUGUUUAUUGUCUGGUGGAGUCAAGUGGAAAUAUAUUAUCAGGUUUCAAGGUUUUGAGUUCAUUGAUUGGAACAACCUACCGCAAACUUUUAGCCUUCAGUCCUGUUUCCCCUUUAAAACGCUAACAUGCCCUCGAACCAACCUCCUUCCUGUUGCCUCGAACGAACCUCCUUCCUGUUGCCCCCAACGAACCUCCUUCCUGUUGCCCCCAAUGAACCUCCUUCCUGUUGCCCCCAACGAACCUCCUUCCUGUUGCCCCCAACGAACCUCCUUCCUGUUGCCCCCAACGAACCUCCUUCCUGUUGCCCCAACGAACCUCCUUCCUGUUUCCCUCAAACCAACCUCCU